rnacentral:lncRNA from 1 species
UGAGGGUCACUGUGUGGAGUAUGUACAUAGAAAAUGCAUCAGCCCAUUGUACCCUGGCAGCUAAUGAGAUUGGUCGUUAAGUAAAUGACACAAAGCCUACAAAAAAAGCUUACAGCUCACUAGAGUAUCACAGAGUGUCCCUGCACACCACACAACGACACAAACACUGGACUAACCUAGCCCACCCUGCUUUAUUCUACAUCACUGCUUCCCUGAUGUCAGCGUGAGAGGCAGAACAAAGGCUAGGAGGCACCGAGCCCCAUAUUUUGUGAGAUUCCUUGAAGGUUGUGUCAAUUCCAUUUUAUCUGGCUGCGGGCUCAUAUCAAGGCUGAGGAACUACAGUUGCAGACUUAGGUUGACGAAGCAUCUGCUUCAUGUCUGGUCAAAGACUACAAGUAACGCAGACAUCUAUGCUUCAGAGGCGGGGCUCUUCAGUAUACUGCAAGGGGUAAAAGACCAGAUGACAGAAAUCUUCUGAAAGGAAGGUUGGUGGCUUAUGUUUUAAAAUUCCAGAACUGCCAGCCAUAAACAUUUAA